rnacentral:rRNA from 1 species
ACGGGGGGUGUAAGCGUUGUUCGGAAUUAUUGGGCGUAAAGAGCGUGUAGGCGGCUGAAUAAGUCAGAUGUGAAAUCCCCGGGCUUAACCUUGGAAGUGCAUUGGAAACUGUUCAACUUGAGUAAGGGAGAGGAAGGUAGAAUUCCCGGUGUAGAGGUGAAAUUCGUAGAGAUCAGGAGGAACACCAGUGGCGAAGGCGCCUUUCUGGACCGAAACUGACGCUGAGACGCGAAAGCGUGGGGAGCAAACAG